UUCCCUUCAUGCAGGCGGCCCUCUCUGCUGCUCUCCACAGAGUGAACGGCUCACUGGGAGGAAGGGAAUCCACAGGGUCACAUGAUGCUUCCACCUGCCUGUGAGGCGUCCAGGGUCAAAGCUGUUUCAGUCAAACAGAAGACAUCAGUAUAACGUCAUCCCCUCCUCUUCUGUCUCUCCCUCCUCCCCCUCCUCUUAUCCCCUCCAUCACUCUCAUUCAUAAUUUAUCCGGAGGCUGAUUUUUUGCCGACACACUCCGGCAUGGUGGUGCAAACACUCUCUCCAGUUUCACUCGGGCUGCGUGCUGCGUGGCCACUUCCUCCUGCAACAGGAAGCAGGUGUCGAUAAGUACAGGAAGUGAAAACUGGCACCAGCCUCAGAAACACCUGACGAACAACAGAGGAGGCUUGCAGUGACACACAGGUGCAUGAAGUCUCCGUUAACCCUGAGAGUCAUGGGACAAAAUAUAACGUAUGGACAGUGAAGAGCAGCUAAGACUGACCUUUAUUUGACACUUCUAUUGAUUGUACAGCCAAUCAGAGAGUAGAGAUGUGGAGAGA